rnacentral:rRNA from 1 species
CAAGACCUUGCGCUCAUGGAGCGGCCGAUAUCGGAUUAGCUUGUUGGUGAGGUAAAAGCUCACCAAGGCGACGAUCCGUAGCUGGUCUGAGAGGACGACCAGCCACACUGGGACUGAGACACGGCCCAGACUCCUACGGGAGGCAGCAGUGGGGAAUUUUGGACAAUGGGGGCAACCCUGAUCCAGCCAUGCCGCGUGUGUGAAGAAGGCCUUCGGGUUGUAAAGCACUUUUGUCCGGAACGAAACGGUUGAAGCGAAUAACUUCAGCUAAUGACGGUACCGGAAGAAUAAGCACCGGCUAACUACGUGCCAGCAGCCGCGGUAAUACGUAGGGUGCAAGCGUUAAUCGGAAUUACUGGGCGUAAAGCGUGCGCAGGCGGUUUUGCAAGUCAGAUGUGAAAUCCCCGGGCUCAACCUGGGAACU